rnacentral:rRNA from 1 species
AAAUUGAAGAGUUUGAUCAUGGCUCAGAUUGAACGCUGGCGGCAGGCCUAACACAUGCAAGUCGAACGGUAACAGGAAGCAGCUUGCUGCUUCGCUGACGAGUGGCGGACGGGUGAGUAAUGUCUGGGAAACUGCCUGAUGGAGGGGGAUAACUACUGGAAACGGUGGCUAAUACCGCAUAACGUCGCAAGACCAAAGAGGGGGACCUUCGGGCCUCUUGCCAUCAGAUGUGCCCAGAUGGGAUUAGCUAGUUGGUGAGGUAACGGCUCACCAAGGCGACGAUCCCUAGCUGGUCUGAGAGGAUGACCAGCCACACUGGAACUGAGACACGGUCCAGACUCCUACGGGAGGCAGCAGUGGGGAAUAUUGCACAAUGGGCGCAAGCCUGAUGCAGCCAUGCCGCGUGUAUGAAGAAGGCCUUCGGGUUGUAAAGUACUUUCAGCGGGGAGGAAGGUGUUGCGGUUAAUAACCGCAGCAAUUGACGUUACCCGCAGAAGAAGCACCGGCUAACUCCGUGCCAGCAGCCGCGGUAAUACGGAGGGUGCAAGCGUUAAUCGGAAUUACUGGGCGUAAAGCGCACGCAGGCGGUCUGUCAAGUCGGAUGUGAAAUCCCCGGGCUCAACCUGGGAACUGCAUUCGAAACUGGCAGGCUUGAGUCUUGUAGAGGGGGGUAGAAUUCCAGGUGUAGCGGUGAAAUGCGUAGAGAUCUGGAGGAAUACCGGUGGCGAAGGCGGCCCCCUGGACAAAGACUGACGCUCAGGUGCGAAAGCGUGGGGAGCAAACAGGAUUAGAUACCCUGGUAGUCCACGCCGUAAACGAUGUCUACUUGGAGGUUGUGCCCUUGAGGCGUGGCUUCCGGAGCUAACGCGUUAAGUAGACCGCCUGGGGAGUACGGCCGCAAGGUUAAAACUCAAAUGAAUUGACGGGGGCCCGCACAAGCGGUGGAGCAUGUGGUUUAAUUCGAUGCAACGCGAAGAACCUUACCUGGUCUUGACAUCCACAGAACUUUCCAGAGAUGGAUUGGUGCCUUCGGGAACUGUGAGACAGGUGCUGCAUGGCUGUCGUCAGCUCGUGUUGUGAAAUGUUGGGUUAAGUCCCGCAACGAGCGCAACCCUUAUCCUUUGUUGCCAGCGGUCCGGCCGGGAACUCAAAGGAGACUGCCAGUGAUAAACUGGAGGAAGGUGGGGAUGACGUCAAGUCAUCAUGGCCCUUACGACCAGGGCUACACACGUGCUACAAUGGCGCAUACAAAGAGAAGCGACCUCGCGAGAGCAAGCGGACCUCAUAAAGUGCGUCGUAGUCCGGAUUGGAGUCUGCAACUCGACUCCAUGAAGUCGGAAUCGCUAGUAAUCGUGGAUCAGAAUGCCACGGUGAAUACGUUCCCGGGCCUUGUACACACCGCCCGUCACACCAUGGGAGUGGGUUGCAAAAGAAGUAGGUAGCUUAACCUUCGGGAGGGCGCUUACCACUUUGUGAUUCAUGACUGGGGUGAAGUCGUAACAAGGUAACCGUAGGGGAACCUGCGGUUGGAUCACCUCCUUACCUUAAAGAAGC